rnacentral:rRNA from 1 species
UACGGGGGGGGCAAGCGUUGUUCGGAAUUACUGGGCGUAAAGGGUCUGUAGGUGGCCAACUAAGUCAGACGUGAAAUCCCUCAGCUUAACUGGGGAACUGCGUCUGAUACUGGAUGGCUUGAGUGCAGGAGAGGAACGCGGAAUUCCAGGUGUAGCGGUGAAAUGCGUAGAUAUCUGGAGGAACACCGGUGGCGAAGGCGGCGUUCUGGACUGCAACUGACACUGAGAGACGAAAGCCAGGGGAGCAAACGGG